UAUUCGUGAGAUCUAUAUUGUUUUUCAUGUUAUCGAGUUCUAGAGAUUCAACGUAAACGUGUGGUAACUAUUAACGUUGGAGAUUUAAAGGAUGUGAUAGACUUGACUAAGAAAAUGUCGGAAAUAAAGAUUACUUGGAAUAUGGUCGUGUUUUUAUGUGUAUAUAAAAUCAGUCAUCGAUAAUAUGGAAUACACCGAUAAAAAAGCAGAUAAAAUUGCAGGUGGUACUAGGAUUAAAUUAAUAUUAUUAGGAUUAAAUUAAAUAUCAUUACAAUAAGUUGGCAAAUGUUGUAUAGUCAAUAUACUGCAGUCUUUAAAUAAAUUUAUCAAUGGGCAGAAUAGACCUAUUAUUAUUAUCUAAUAAGCCAUGUUUUUGAUAAACAGGUGAAUAUAUAUUUAUUAUUAAAAACAAAAUCUUUUUCGAAUUCCUUAAAAUAAUU